rnacentral:misc_RNA from 1 species
GAACGCAUCUUGCGCUCCUUGGUAUUCUGAGGAGCAUGCCUGUUUGAGUGUCAUUAAAUUCUCAACCACACUGACUUUUGAUUGGUGUUGGGCGUCUUUUGUCUCCAGUUCGCUGGAGACUCGCCUUAAAGUCAUUGGCAGCCGGCCUACUGGUUUCGGAGCGCAGCACAAGUCGCGCUCUUCGCCAGCCAAGGUCAGCGUCCAGCAAGCCUUUUUUUCAACCUUUGACCUCGGAUCAGGUAGGGAUACCCGCUGAACUUAAG